AUGCAAUCAGCCCUGGGGCCCUGAUGCCCCUGCCCUGUCCAUGGAGCUGUGACCACCUGGGAAAACAGGACAUGAACACAUGAAGCCAUGGUGAGUCAGCAGAUGGCGUGUCGUUCUGUCUGAGCAUGGCAGGAGGUCAGAGAAGGGAAAGCCCCGAAGAUGCCAGAAUACAGAGCCCUGGCCUCUACCUCCCAGCAAGAGCCGGACCCAGCCUGCAAGCAUGACCAGCAUGAUUUCUGAUGAAGCUCCCAACAGCAGUGGCUUUCCAGGCUGCCCGGCCCAGGACCUGACUCAUGGAAAUCCCACCAGGUAAAAGACUUUGGCCCUAGUCAGGAAGUUUAAAGAAAGAUAAACUCCAAAAAAGAGAUUGGGAG
rnacentral:lncRNA from 1 species